rnacentral:rRNA from 1 species
CCUACGUGGUGCAGCAGUGAGGGAUAUUGGUCAAUGGGGGAAACCCUGAACCAGCAACGCCGCGUGAGGGAAGACGGUUUUCGGAUUGUACACCUCUGUCCUCUGUGAAGAUAAUGACGGUCGCAGAGGAGGAAGCUCCGGCUAACUACGUGCCAGCAGCCGCGGUAAUACGUAGGGAGCAAGCGUGGUCCGGAUUUACGGGGUGUAAAGGGUGCGUAGGCGGGCUUGCAAGUCAGAAGUGAAGUCUAUGGGCUUAACCCAUACACUGCUUUUGAACCUGUAAGUCUUGAGUGAAGUAGAGGGAGGCGGAAUUCCCGGUGUAGCGGUGAAAUGCGUAGAGAUCGGGAGGAACACCAGUGGCGAAGGCGGCCUACUGGGCUUUAACUGACGCUGAGGCACGAAAGCGUGGGUAGCAAACAGGAUUAGAUACCCCUGUAGUC